rnacentral:rRNA from 1 species
AUGAACGCUGGCGGCGUGCUUAACACAUGCAAGUCGAGCGAGAAGUUUUGAAAAGAUUCUUCGGAUGAAAUUUAAAAUGAAAAGCGGCGGACGGGUGAGUAACGCGUAGGCAACCUGCCCCAUACAAAGGGAUAGCAUUUGGAAACGAAUAUUAAUACCUUAUGAAACUUAACUAGUGCAUGCUAGGUAGGUCAAAGAUUUAUCGGUAUGGGAUGGGCCUGCGUCUGAUUAGCUAGUUGGUGAGGUAACGGCUCACCAAGGCGACGGUCAGUAGCCGACCUGAGAGGGUGAACGGCCACAUUGGAACUGAGACACGGUCCAAACUCCUACGGGAGGCAGCAGUGGGGAAUAUUGCACAAUGGGGGAAACCCUGAUGCAGCAACGCCGCGUGAACGAUGAAGGCCUUUGGGUCGUAAAGUUCUGUUCUAGGUGAUGAAAACUGACAGUAACCUAGGAGAAAGCCCCGGCUAACUCCGUG